AAUAGAUACCCAGGUAGUCCAUGCCGUAAACGUUGGGAACUAGAUGUAGGGACCAUUCCACGGUUUCUGUGUCGCAGCUAACGCAUUAAGUUCCCCGCCUGGGGAGUACGGCCGCAAGGCUAAAACUCAAAGGAAUUGACGGGGGCCCGCACAAGCGGCGGAGCAUGCGGAUUAAUUCGAGGCAACGCGAAGAACCUUACCAAGGCUUGACAUAUACGAGAACGCCCUAGAAAUAGGGAACUCUUUGGACACUCGUAUACAGGUGGUGCAUGGUUGUCGUCAGCUCGUGUCGUGAGAUGUUGGGUUAAGUCCCGCAACGAGCGCAACCCUCGUUCUAUGUUGCCAGCACGUCAUGGUGGGAACUCAUAGGAGACCGCCGGGGUCAACUCGGAGGAAGGUGGGGAUGACGUCAAAUCAUCAUGCCCCUUAUGUCUUGGGCUUCACGCAUGCUACAAUGGCCGGUACAAAGGGCUGCAAUACCGCAAGGUGGAGCGAAUCCCGAAAAAGCCGGUCUCAGUUCGGAUUGAGGU
rnacentral:rRNA from 1 species